rnacentral:lncRNA from 1 species
UUUUUUUUAUUUUUUUACUUAUUUAUUCAUGAGAGACACAGAGAGAGAGAGGCAGAGACGCAGGCAGAGGGAGAAGCAGGCUUCAUGCAGGGAGCCUGAUGUGGGACUCGAUCUUGGGUCUCUAGGAUCAGGCCCUGGGCCGAAGGCAGACGCUAAACCAUUGAGCCACCCAGGCUGCCCUAUAAAUCUUUAAAAAAAAAAGUUAAAUCCAGUUCUGAAUUUAGUAGUAUCCCAGCACACUCUCAAGCUUUUACUACAUAUGCAUAUAUUCCUAUCUAAGACAUAAGGUUUUGUAUAUUUCCAAAUAUAAAGUAUAUUUCUUAAUAUAAAGGCUUUAGGGAUGCCUGACUGGUUGGGUCAGUGGAGUGUGCAACUCUUGAUCUUGAGAUUGUGAGUUGAGUCCCACGAUGGAUGUAGAGAUGACUUUAUUUUUUUUUAAGAUUUUAUUUAUUUAUUCAUAGAGACAGAGAGAGAGAGGCAGAGGGAGAAGCAGGCAUCACACAGAGAGCCUGAUGUGGGACUCAAUUCAGGAUCUCCAGGAUCACGUCCUGGGCUGUAGGUGGCACUAAAUCGCUGUGCCACCGGGGCUGCCCAAGAUGACUUUAAAAAGUAAAAUCUUUAGGGGAUCUCUGGGUGGCUCAGCAGUUUAGCGCCUGCCUUCAGCCCAAGGCAUGAUCCCGGGGUUCCAGGAUCAAAUCCCACAUGGGGCUCCCUGCAUGGAGCUUGCUUCUCCCUCUGCCUGUGUCUCUGCCUCUCUCUCUCUCUCCCCCUCUGUGUCUCUUGUGAAUAAAUACAAUCUUUAAAAGUAAAUAAAUAAAAUAUUUAUAAAAUAUAUGUAAAGGCUUUAUAAUCUGUACAAUUUUCUGCACCUUUAUCCAGGCUGUGUUUUGAUUUCACCUAAUUUUAUGUUAAUGUUGUUCCUCUAGUUCAUCAUUAUCUACUGAUGAGUGGCAUUCUCCUGUAAGCCACAAUUCAUUUCUCCAUUUUCCUGAUGAUUGACAUUGGGGUUGUUAACAGUUUUCUAAUAUUACAAACAAUGCUGCAUAUAUGAACAGAAGUUCUUGAGCAUGGGAUUAAGAGUUCCUCUUUAAAAAAAAAAAAGAUUUUGGGAUCCCUGGGUGGCUCCAUGGUUUAGCGUCUGCCUUUGGCCCAGGGCGCGAUCCUGGAGUCCCGGGAUCGAGUCCCACGUUGGGCUCCCGGCAUGGAGCCUGCUUCUCCCUCCUCCUGUGUCUCUGCCUCUCUCUAUCAUAAAUAAAUAAAUCUUAAAAAAAUAAAAAUAAAAAGAUUUUAUUUAUUUGAGAGAGAGAAAGAUAUAGCAGGAGCAGAGGGAGAGGGAGAAGCAGACUCCCUGAUGAGCAGGGAGCCCAAUGCAGGGACUCUGGGAUCAUGACCUGAGUGGAAGGCAGAUGCCUAACUGACUGACCCACACAGGUGCCCCAAGAGUUGUUGUUGUUGUUGUUGUUCUUCUUCUUCUUUUUUAAGACUUUAUUGACUUCUUUAUAUAUCUGGAAUACUAAUGCUUUUUUGGUCAUAUGCUUGUGGACAACUUCUCCACAGCUACUUGGUAGCUCUUAGUCUCACCUUUUUAUGGUAUCUUUUAACAUAGAUUUUUAAUUUUAUAAUUAUUUUUUAAGUAGGCUCCAUGCCCAACAUGGGGCUUGAAUUCAUGACCCUGAGGCCAAGAGUCUCAUGUUCUAACAGUGAGCCAGCCAGGCACCACUAGAUUUUUAUUUUUAAUGAUGUUAAAUUUUCAUAAGAAACCUCAUGUUUUGGGACACCUAGGUGGCUCAGCGGUUGAACAUCUGCUUUUGGCUCAGGAUGUGAUCUCACAGGGACUGGGAUCGAGUUCCACAUCAGGCUCCUUGUGGGGGGUGGCCUGCUUCUCCGCAUUCCUGUGUCUCUGCCUCUCUUUCUGUGUCUCUCAUGAAUAAAUAAAAUCUUAAAAAAAAUUUAAAAAAACCUUAUGUUUUAUCCUUCUUUAUCCUGAGGUUAUCAUAGAGGCCGUUUUUAGGCAACCAAUUUGAGCAAUAGAUACCUAAGUAAGGUAGAAGGACACACAGUGAUCACCUACCAGCUGGCUGAAUAUAAGCAGGCCCAUUAGGUGACCCACUUCAAAAUAUUCAGGCAGCCCAGGUGGCUCAGCGGUUUAGUGCUGCCUUUGGCACAGGGCCUGAUCCUGGGGAUCAAAUCCCAUGUUGUGCUCCCCGCAUGGAGCCUGCUUCUCCCUCUGCCUGUGUCUCUGCCUCUCUCUCUCUAAAUAAAUAAAAUAUUUAAAAAAUAUAUCCAUAAGCCCUGGCUAGACAGCUAUUUGAGAGGAGAAAAAAUAGCCUUUUUUGAAAAAAAGAAAUCUAUUUAAAUAAAAUAUUAGCAACCGAAGCCAACAAUGUGUUAAUAGCAACAAUUACAAAACUAUGAGCUAGUUGUGUUUAUCCUAAGAUUUAAAGGACUAAUCACUCUUAGAAAGUCUAUUGAUGUAAUUGAGCUCAUAAACAGUUAAGUAGAAUGCCUAUGAUUAUCUCAACAGGUGCAGAAAAAAAUGCAAUUAGCAACUGCUAAUAUUUUAUUGUUUUUCCUUAAAACUGCACAAUGUUGUUGUGUUUUUUU